rnacentral:rRNA from 1 species
CCUACGGGCGGCAGCAGUGAGGAAUAUUGGUCAAUGGGCGAGAGCCUGAACCAGUCAAGUCGCGUGAAGGAUGACGGCCCUACGGGUUGUAAACUUCUUUUGUCAGGGAGCAAUUGGGUCCACGCGUGGGCUUCGCGAGAUUACCUGAAGAAAAAGCAUCGGCUAACUCCGUGCCAGCAGCCGCGGUAAUGCGGAGGAUGCGAGCGUUACCCGGAUUUAUUGGGUUAAAAGGGUGCGUAGGCGGAAGAUAAAGUCAGCGGUAAAAAUUCGGGGCGCAACUCCGUCGUGCCGUUGAAACUGGUGUUCUGGAGUGGGAGAGGAGUAAGCGGAAGGCGUGGUGUAGAGGGGAAAUGCAUAGAUAUAACGAAGAACUCCGAUUGCGAAGGCAGCAUACCGGCGUCUAACUGACGCUGAAGCACGAAAGCGUGGGUAUCGAACAGGAUGAGAUACCCCGGUAGUC